GGCAGUUCUCGGGUGAUGCACCCCAGAAUCGGGCUCCCUCCUCUCUGGUCCUGGGGGGCAUCACCCGAGAACUGCU
rfam:Myotis davidii contig16132, whole genome shotgun sequence.